UUGAUAUAUAUAUUCAUAUAUAUAUUUAUAUAUAAUAUAAAUAUAUAUAAUAUAAAUAUUUAUAUAAUAUAUAUUUAAAUAUUUUUAUAAUAUAUAUUUAUAUAUAUAUAUAUAUUUUCUUUCUUCUGUGAGUCAAAUUCACAAGGCUGCAUACACCUCUGAACAGGUUGGGUUUUCACCUCCAUGACUUAAAACUAAGUGUUCCAUGAUGUGAAACCACUACCACCACCAUCCCGUGUCUGAUUACUCGUCUUCAGUCUCAGAUCCAGAUGUCGGGUUGUGAAGAGGCGUUGGUGUGUUUGUGUUGGCGUGAACGGGACUCGUGACGUCCAGCUGCUCCUCUGAAGUGACCGUCUGGACUCGCAGCACAACAUGGGGGAUGAACAAUCACAUUCGUAGGGCAGGCCAAAAAACAACAACAACAACAACCAAAGACGCAAAGAGGCUGUAAUACUGCAGAUGUGUGUGUACGAUCAUGUAAAUAAAAGUGGAGCUCUAA